CCCUUUCAAAGUGUGAACACUUCCUUUUUCUGUAAAGUCUCAUUCUCGGAGUGAGGCUGUGUGUGACAGACUGAUACAAGUGGGUCCUCUGAGUUUUUAUUUGUUUCAGAAAUCCAGUUGUAGUCCCACAUGAGAUGGAGGCUCAGACAGUCACGUGGUUGGUUUUUCUUGCCCUGAUAAAACAUGUUUCUACAACUAACCCUGGAAAUCCCGUUGAAUACCCGCCCACUGAACCUAUACUGUCUAUGAGUUCUGAGGUCACAGAAGGUUGGACCAUCACCAUCAACUGCACUGUUGAAAGUUUCCCACAGUCAACUCUCACCUUGGGGAGGGCCGACCCAUAUCCUCAGUCUUUAAAAAUCACUGACAAUAAACUUAAUUCACGACCCA